rnacentral:rRNA from 1 species
AUUGAACGCUGGCGGCAGGCCUAACACAUGCAAGUCGAGCGGAUGAAGGGAGCUUGCUCCUGGAUUCAGCGGCGGACGGGUGAGUAAUGCCUAGGAAUCUGCCUUGUAGUUGGGGAUAACGUCCGGAAACGGGCGCUAAUACCGCAUACGUCCUGAGGGAGAAAGGGGGGGAUCUUCGGACCUCACGCUAUCAGAUGAGCCUAGGUCGGAUUAGCUAGUUGGUUGGGUAAAGGCCUACCAAGGCGACGAUCCGUAACUGGUCUGAGAGGAUGAUCAGUCACACUGGAACUGAGACACGGUCCAGACUCCUACGGGAGGCAGCAGUGGGGAAUAUUGGACAAUGGGCGAAAGCCUGAUCCAGCCAUGCCGCGUGUGUGAAGAAGGUCUUCGGAUUGUAAAGCACUUUAAGUUGGGAGGAAGGGCAGUAAGUUAAUACCUUGCUGUUUUGACGUUACCAACAGAAUAAGCACCGGCUAACUUCGUG